GCCUGCAGCCAGCCCUCCUUGGGCAGGGAUCCCAUCAGAUUUUUACAAGCCAGGCAGGGUCGGGCCUGGUGAAGACAUGAAUGGGAAUGCCCAAAACAACACAGGCAGCAGGCG
rnacentral:rRNA from 1 species